GGAAGGAUCAUUACCGAAUUGUCAAACAUGGGUUGUUGCUGGCCCCCGAACGGGGCAUGUGCACGCUCUGUUUACACAUCCACUCACACCUGUGCACCCUCUGUAGUUCUGUGGACCGGGAGACGUCGUCUUCCUUCCGUAGCUCUACGUCUUUACACACACACCGUAGCGAUGUCUCAUGGAAUGUUUUUUCGCGUUUAACGCAAUACAAUACAACUUUCAGCAACGGAUCUCUUGGCUCUCGCAUCGAUGAAGAACGCAGCGAAAUGCGAUAAGUAAUGUGAAUUGCAGAAUUCAGUGAAUCAUCGAAUCUUUGAACGCACCUUGCGCCCCUUGGUUAUUCCUCGGAGCAUGCCUGUUUGAGUAUCAUGAACACCUCAACUCUCAUGGUCUUCCAUGAUGAGCUUGGACUUUGGGGGUUUGCUGGCCUUGUGGCCGGCUCCUCUCAAAUGAAUCAGCUUGCCAGUGUUUGGCGGCGUCACGGGUGUGAUAACUAUCUACGCUUGUGGUCGUCCACCAGGUAACCCUCAGCGAUGAAGGUUCAUUGGGGCUCAUAAACGUCUCUCCCCAGCGAGGACAACUUUUGAACGUUCGAUCUCAAAUCAGGUAGGACUACCCGCUGAACUUAAGCAUAUCAAUAAGCGGAGGAAAAGAAACUAACAAGGAUUCCCCUAGUAACUGCGAGUGAAGCGGGAAGAGCUCAAAUUUAAAAUCUGGCGUGCCUUUGGUCGUCCGAAUUGUAGUCUGGAGAAGCGUUUUCCGUGUUGGACCGUGUAUAAGUCUCUUGGAACAGGGCGUCAUAGAGGGUGAGAAUCCCGUCUUUGACACGGACUACCAAUGCUUUGUGAUGCGCUCUCAAAGAGUCGAGUUGUUUGGGAAUGCAGCUCAAAAUGGGUGGUAAAUUCCAUCUAAAGCUAAAUAUAGGCGAGAGACCGAUAGCGAACAAGUACCGUGAGGGAA
rnacentral:rRNA from 1 species